AAGCUGAGGUGAGUUUCCCCAAUCAGUAGUGUGAGGGGGAAGCCACCGGAGCAGCUGCACUCGUGCCCACUACCGUGGUCUUUAGAAGCCGACUGGUGCCGCGGUGUGUCGAAUAUCUGUGGGAAUUGGCCAGGUGAGGCCACUUGCGGGUCAGUUGAUGGCGAGCUACUACCUGGAACAGAACCUGCCCCAACAACCUCAUCGCCCCCUGUGGGUUUGGUAGGAGGCUGUUGCAGCUUUGCUCACCCCCUCCACUCUCA